UAAGGAAUCUUGCACAAUGGGGGAAACCCUGAUGCAGCAACGCCGCGUGAACGAUGAAGGCCUUCGGGUUGUAAAGUUCUGAUCUUAGGGAAGAAGAAGUGACGGUACCUAAGGAGAAAGCCCCGGCUAACUACGUGCCAGCAGCCGCGGUAAUACGUAGGGGGCAAGCGUUAUCCGGAAUUAUUGGGCGUAAAGAGUGCGUAGGUGGUUACCUAAGCGUAAGGUUUAAUCGAGAGGCUCAACCUCUUCUCGCCUUGCGAACUGGGCUACUUGAGUGCAGGAGGGGAAAGCGGAAUUCCUAGUGUAGCGGUGAAAUGCGUAGAUAUUAGGAAGAACACCGGUGGCGAAGGCGGCUUUCUGGACUGUAACUGACACUGAGGCACGAAAGCGUGGGGAGCAAACAGG
rnacentral:rRNA from 2 species